CAGUAGCCACGGGAAUACGUAGGGUGCGAGCGUUAAUCGGAAUUACUGGGCGUAAAGCGUGCGCAGGCGGUUCGUUAAGACAGAUGUGAAAUCCCCGGGCUUAACCUGGGAACUGCAUUUGUUACUGGCGAGCUAGAGUAUGGCAGAGGGGGGUAGAAUUCCACGUGUAGCAGUGAAAUGCGUAGAGAUGUGGAGGAAUACCGAUGGCGAAGGCAGCCCCCUGGGCCAAUACUGACGCUCAUGCACGAAAGCGUGGGGAGCGAACAGGAUUAGAUACCCGCGUAGUCCCUGUCUCUUAUAC
rnacentral:rRNA from 1 species